CCCGCUUGACUUAAGCAUAUCAAUAAGCGGAGGAAAAGAAACCAACAGGGAUUGCCCCAGUAACGGCGAGUGAAGCGGCAACAGCUCAAAUUUGAAAUCUGGCCCCUAGGGCCCGAGUUGUAAUUUGCAGAGGAUGCUUUUGACGAGGUGCCUUCCGAGUUCCCUGGAACGGGACGCCAUAGAGGGUGAGAGCCCCGUCUGGUUGGACACCGAGUCUCUGUAAAGCUCCUUCGACGAGUCGAGUAGUUUGGGAAUGCUGCUCUAAAUGGGAGGUAUAUGUCUUCUAAAGCUAAAUACCGGCCAGAGACCGAUAGCGCACAAGUAGAGUGAUCGAAAGAUGAAAAGCACUUUGAAAAGAGGGUUAAACAGUACGUGAAAUUGUUGAAAGGGAAGCGUUCAUGACCAGACUUGGGCCCGGCGAAUCAUCCAGCGUUCUCGCUGGUGCACUUUUCCGGGCUCAGGCCAGCAUCAGUUUGCCCCGGGGGAUAAAGGCUCUGGGAAUGUGGCUCCUCCGGGAGUGUUAUAGCCCGCUGCACAAUACUCUGGGGCGGACUGAGGUUCGCGCAUCUGCAUGGAUGCUGGCGUAAUGGUCAUCAGCGACCCGUCUUGAAACACGGACCAAGGAGUCGUCUUCGUAUGCGAGUGUUCGGGUGUCAAACCCCUACGCGUAAUGAAAGUGAACGCAGGUGAGAGCUUCGGCGCAUCAUCGACCGAUCCUGAUGUUCUCGGAUGGAUUUGAGUAAGAGCAUACGGGGCCGGACCCGAAAGAAGGUGAACUAUGCCUGUAUAGGGUGAAGCCAGAGGAAACUCUGGUGGAGGCUCGCAGCGGUUCUGACGUGCAAAUCGAUCGUCAAAUAUGGGCAUGGGGGCGAAAGACUAAUCGAACCUUCUAGUAGCUGGUUUCCGCCGAAGUUUCCCCUCAGGA
rnacentral:rRNA from 1 species